GACGUAGGGUGCGAGCGUUGUCCGGAAUUAUUGGGCGUAAAGAGCUCGUAGGCGGCUUGUCGCGUCGGAUGUGAAAGCCCGGGGCUUAACUCCGGGUCUGCAUUCGAUACGGGCAGGCUAGAGUUCGGUAGGGGAGAUCGGAAUUCCUGGUGUAGCGGUGAAAUGCGCAGAUAUCGGGAAGAACACCCGUGGCGAAGGCGGCUCUCUGGGACGGUACUGACGCUGAGACGCGAAAGCGUGGGGAGCGAACAGG
rnacentral:rRNA from 1 species